AACUGUGAGUUCACAGACGCAGCUCGCAA
rnacentral:sRNA from 1 species